AGGAGGAACAGCCCCAGUGGCGGGGCCAGCUCUGGAGCCCUGGAGUCAGCCCCCGCAGUGGGUCCAGAGCUCUCCGUCUGCCGGGCCUGGAGGCUCCGGGGCAGG
rnacentral:pre_miRNA from 1 species